rnacentral:rRNA from 1 species
AUUGAACGCUGGCGGCAUGCCUUACACAUGCAAGUCGAACGGUAACAGGUCUUCGGAUGCUGACGAGUGGCGAACGGGUGAGUAAUACAUCGGAACGUGCCUAGUAGUGGGGGAUAACUACUCGAAAGAGAGGCUAAUACCGCAUGAGAUCUAAGGAUGAAAGCAGGGGAUCGCAAGACCUUGUGCUACUAGAGCGGCCGAUGGCAGAUUAGGUAGUUGGUGGGAUAAAAGCUUACCAAGCCGACGAUCUGUAGCUGGUCUGAGAGGACGAUCAGCCACACUGGGACUGAGGCACGGCCCAGACUCCUACGGGAGGCAGCAGUGGGGAAUUUUGGACAAGGGGCGCAAGCCUGAUCCAGCAAUGCCGCAUGCAGGAUGAAGGCCUUCGGGUUGUAAACUGCUUUUGUACGGAACGAAAAGCCCUGGGUUAAUACCCUGGGGUCAUGACGGUACCGUAAGAAUAAGCACCGGCUAACUACGUGCCAGCAGCCGCCGUAACAC